AUGCGAGCUGUGAGUUUUCAGUCAAAAAAAGAAGACCUUGGAGCCUUCCAAUACAGGAAAUGUCAAUGCAAAAGGAGUCCCCAUUUUCUGCGAGUGCGUUGGUGGAUUGGAAAGACAAAGCAGUUACCAAUUAGACUAAAGCAGAGCUUCAGGUCAUGUGGAUCAAGGAAAUUUCUAAGAAAAAAAAUGGAAUGGGGAAAGAAGGCAAUUAUCAAAAGGAGAAAAAUAAAAAUGAAUUUAAUACAUGCUUCGUUUCAAAACUAUGAACUGGAGAGGGCUUUUAUAUCUCCACAUAACAGCAAGCAGUUGUUCUAUGGAAGAUGCAAGAACCAAAAAAAAAAGGAAAAGAAAAGAAAAUCAGAGACAAGAGGAGGUAAAGGACAGAGAGACUCAAGGAAGCUCUUCCAAAAGGGUAUGCAGCAGACCUGUGAUGGAAGUACAAAAGAGAACCAUCAACUUUGGACCCAAAAGUGCUGUUCCACCAAUCACCUGAAAAGGCUUCCCCAAGGAAAGUUGAUAAAAGAAUUAUGA
rnacentral:lncRNA from 1 species